rnacentral:sRNA from 1 species
UGUCAAAAGACCAAGAUGAUCAACAUGGU